CAUUCUCUCAGUAAGCUAAAUCUUUAACUAUGAUUUGUGUUAGUCUUAUUACUGAAAUGCAUAAAUAAAUAUGAUAUGAUUUGAUUAGAUAUACGAGAAUUUCACAUAAUCACAUGCAUGUUACUUUUGUUCUACAGUUUCUUUAUUGUACUAAGUUUCCAUCUCUGUUUCUUGACAAGGCGCUCCAAGGAAGAGAUAUGCUUCCAUGCCAGGGAGCAAGGGAAGAACACGACUGACGACUGAGGAAUCCUUUUAUGAUAAUCCAUUAUCUGAGUGCAUCUGUCUGACUGGGAAGCACACAUGUGAUGCUGCGGUAUAGGCCCUGAUUCUUUUCUGCACAAAAUGGUCACUAUGGGAAAGUCUAAGGAGGACAAUACCUCAGGUCAUAAAAUACAUCUACCAGGUGCAAAAAUUGAGAAAGUGUGGAUACGAGUAUAUCCACAUUGGUCAUGCCAAGGCUGCAAUGUUGAACAAGUAUUCUCCAGAAAAGAUAUAAGGGGGUCCAAUAGGAUCUUAGCUUAGGCACAACAGAAGUGAGCAAAGCUAACUAGGAGAGAGCGCCAACAACAAAAUACCUGCAGUUUCAUGGAAAUGACAUACAUUUGUGGUUUAUCUUUUUUUUUUUGCCGAAUACCUCUGGGCCAAAGGAAGGAGAGAUCUGAUUAUCCAUACAUUUGUUGACUAACGUCAUUGGGGUUGACCAGGGCACCAUUUGAGGUGCUUGAAUAUUAAUCGCUAGGUUUUGGAUUGGAGGCAUUGGAG